GACGGGACCCGCACAAGCGGUGGAUGAUGUGGUUUAAUUCGAUGCAACGCGAAAACCUUACCCACCUUUGACAUGUACGGAAUCCUUUAGAGAUAGAGGGGUGCUCGAAAGAGAGCCGUAACACAGGUGCUGCAUGGCUGUCGUCAGCUCGUGUCGUGAGAUGUUGGGUUAAGUCCCGCAACGAGCGCAACCCUUGUCAUUAGUUGCUACAUUUGGUUGGGCACUCUAAUGAGACUGCCGGUGACAAGCCGGAGGAAGGUGGGGAUGACGUCAAGUCCUCAUGGCCCUUAUAGGUGGGGCUACACACGUCAUACAAUGGCUGGUACAAAGGGUUGCCAACCCGCGAGGGGGAGCUAAUCCCACAAAGCCAGUCGUAGUCCGGAUCGUAGUCUGCAACUCGACUACGUGAAGUCGGAAUCGCUAGUAAUCGUGGAUCAGAAUGUCACGGUGAAUACGUUCCCGGGUCUU
rnacentral:rRNA from 1 species